AGUGGAAUAGCUGGGUCAAAUGAUGGUUCCAUUUCCAGUUAAUCUCUAUACUGCUUUCCAGAUUGGCUGCACAAAUUUGCAGUCCCACCAGCAAU
rnacentral:pre_miRNA from 1 species